rnacentral:rRNA from 1 species
UACGUAGGUGGCAAGCGUUGUCCGGAUUUAUUGGGCGUAAAGGGAGCGCAGGCGGUGACUUAAGUCUGAUGUGAAAGCCCACGGCUCAACCGUGGAAGGUCAUUGGAAACUGGGUCACUUGAGUGCAGAAGAGGAAAGUGGAAUUCCAUGUGUAGCGGUGAAAUGCGUAGAUAUAUGGAGGAACACCAGUGGCGAAGGCGACUUUCUGGUCUGUAACUGACGCUGAGGCUCGAAAGCGUGGGGAGCAAAC